GAGGGGGGCGAGCGUUGUUCGGAAUUAUUGGGCGUAAAGGGCGCGUAGGCGGUGCGGUAAGUCACCUGUGAAACCUCUGGGCUUAACUCAGAGCCUGCAGGCGAAACUACCGUGCUUGAGUGUGGGAGAGGUGCGUGGAAUUCCCGGUGUAGCGGUGAAAUGCGUAGAUAUUGGGAGGAACACCAGUGGCGAAGGCGGCUCGCUGGACCGGUUCUGACGCUGAUGCGCGAAAGCGUGGGGAGCAAACGGGAUUAGAUACCCCGGUAGUCCACGCUGUAAACGAUGAGUGCUUGGUGUAGCGGGUAUCGACCCCUGCUGUGCCGAAGUCAACACAUUAAGCACUCCGCCUGGGGAGUACGGUCGCAAGGCUG
rnacentral:rRNA from 1 species